rnacentral:rRNA from 1 species
CCCUUAGGGUUUGAUUAUGGCUCAGGACGAACGCUGGCGGCGUGCCUAAUACAUGCAAGUCGAGCGAUGAUUAAAGAUAGCUUGCUAUUUUUAUGAAGAGCGGCGAACGGGUGAGUAACGCGUGGGAAAUCUGCCGAGUAGCGGGGGACAACGUUUGGAAACGAACGCUAAUACCGCAUAACAAUGAGAAUCGCAUGAUUCUUAUUUAAAAGAAGCAAUUGCUUCACUACUUGAUGAUCCCGCGUUGUAUUAGCUAGUUGGUAGUGUAAAGGACUACCAAGGCGAUGAUACAUAGCCGACCUGAGAGGGUGAUCGGCCACACUGGGACUGAGACACGGCCCAGACUCCUACGGGAGGCAGCAGUAGGGAAUCUUCGGCAAUGGGGGCAACCCUGACCGAGCAACGCCGCGUGAGUGAAGAAGGUUUUCGGAUCGUAAAACUCUGUUGUUAGAGAAGAACGUUAAGUAGAGUGGAAAAUUACUUAAGUGACGGUAUCUAACCAGAAAGGGACGGCUAACUACGUGCCA